GAGAUUUUAUGCUGGUGUUGACAACUUGUCGGAUUGGACAACUGCCGGUUUUGACAGCCUCCACUGUAUUUACAAUUACUGAUGAUAGAUCUUAGAUGUCUGUGCCACAGAUUGAGAGAACUUUGUUAGAGGCAGAUAUUAUGUGUAUUCCAUAAUCAGUAUAUUUGGUGGGCGAGUCUAGAAAUAUUUAAUUGUUUUGCGGAUUCCGGUUCCGAAAAGAUCUGAGAUAAGAUGGUUCUAGUGUUAUGGGCCCGUUCCAUAUUGUGUUUGUAGCAUUACGUCAUUCGUAAGCCUAUGAAAUACUUUAUAUCAAUAAAAUAUAUCUAACACUAUGAAUGCUUAAUGGAUCAAGACACAGGCUUACUGUCUUGGAUCAUUGCAAAUCACUAUACCAUGGUUGUUUGGUCCAGACUAUUUUUUAGAUGCCUGCAUCAUAUUGCUGGCUUGACAUUAGACUUCAUACGAACUUAAAUAAAUAGUUAUUAGUAAAGUUAUUGAAGAUUCUAUCACAGAUGUAAUUUUUAGUUUGGACAGGAGGUUGUUGUGUUCAUGAUGUAAAGAGAUAUAUGUGUACUUGGCUUGGGGUAGUGUGUGCCCUUUAAUCAGAGAACUAACUUAUUCAUCUACAGGAGCAGGAAGUAUCUUGAAACAUUUAGUCUUAUGAAUACUCAAGUAAAAAAUCCAUGUCUGUCUCUACCUAAUUAACGUAUUACUAUAUCCAUUUCUUCCAUAUUAAUUUGUCUGUAGGAUCAUGUUAACCAGCAGGUGUGGAGAAGUGUUCACUCGAUUUCCUUAGGAAUCUAAACUAAAGUACUGUCGGAAAUGCUAGAAAAAUGUUUUUUAGCCUUAAUGCUUUGAUAAAGGUGAUGAAUGUAUUAUGUUGUCAAUAUAUCAACUCGCCUAUACUGUACCUACAUUUUAUUUCAAUCGAUUUAACAUUCCCAUGCAUUUAAAGGGCAAUUUACAGGAGAGAAUUUGGUACCAAAACAACA